rnacentral:rRNA from 1 species
UACGUAGGGUGCGAGCGUUAAUCGGAAGUACUGGGCGUAAAGCGUGCGCAGGCGGCGCGUUAAGACAGGUGUGAAAGCCCCGAGCUUAACUUGGGAAUUGCGCUUGUGACUGGCGUGCUGGAGUGUGGCAGAGGGAGGUGGAAUUCCACGUGUAGCAGUGAAAUGCGUAGAGAUGUGGAGGAACACCGAUGGCGAAGGCAGCCUCCUGGGCCAGCACUGACGCUCAUGCACGAAAGCGUGGGGAGCAAACAGG